rnacentral:rRNA from 1 species
UGAAAUCUCGGGGCUCAACCCCGAAACUGCGUCUGAAACUGGAGGUCUAGAAUCUUGGAGGGGGAAGGGGAAUUUCUCAUGUAGGGGUAAAAUCCGUAGAUAUGAGAAGGAACACCAGAGGCGAAGGCGCCUUCCUGGACAAGUAUUGACGCUGAGGCGCGAAAGCGUGGGGAUCAAACAGGAUUAGAUACCCUGGUAGUCCACGCUGUAAACGAUGAAUACUAGAUAUUGGGGGAUUUGACCCCUUCAGUGUCGUAGCUAACGCGUUAAG